GAUGAACGCUGGCGGCGUGCCUAAUACAUGCCAGUCGAGCGAACAGAUGAGGAGCUUGCUCCUCUGACGUUAGCGGCGGACGGGUGAGUAACACGUGGAUAACCUACCUAUAAGACUGGGAUAACUUCGGGAAACCGGAGCUAAUACCGGAUAAUAUAUUGAACCGCAUGGUUCAAUAGUGAAAGACGGUUUUGCUGUCACUUAUAGAUGGAUCCGCGCCGCAUUAGCUAGUUGGUAAGGUAACGGCUUACCAAGGCAACGAUGCGUAGCCGACCUGAGAGGGUGAUCGGCCACACUGGAACUGAGACACGGUCCAGACUCCUACGGGAGGCAGCAGUAGGGAAUCUUCCGCAAUGGGCGAAAGCCUGACGGAGCAACGCCGCGUGAGUGAUGAAGGUCUUCGGAUCGUAAAACUCUGUUAUUAGGGAAGAACAAAUGUGUAAGUAACUACGCACGUCUUGACGGUACCUAAUCAGAAAGCCACGGCUAACUACGUG
rnacentral:rRNA from 1 species